UACGUAGGGUGCGAGCGUUAAUCGGAAUUACUGGGCGUAAAGUGUGCGCAGGCGGCAAAGCAAGUCGAGUGUGAAAGCCCCGGGCUUAACUUGGGAAUUGCGCUCGAAACUACUUUGCUGGAGUGUGGCAGAGGAAGGUGGAAGUUCACGUGAUAGCGGUGGAAAUACGGUAGAGAUAGUGGAGGAACACCGAAAGGCCGCAAAGG
rnacentral:rRNA from 1 species